rnacentral:ncRNA from 1 species
GGUGGGCGGGGGUGCGUGUGUGUCUGUGCGUGCGUGUAUAGAAGAGGCUUUAACUGGGGGCACUGAUAAUGAAGUGCUGAUUCCGGAGUGCAUCUGAGGCAUGUUGUUAAAUUUUGGGGUCCUGUUUUCCGACAUUGCCGAUGAUUAAAGCCCAAAACAAGCUCACCAAGACAGGCCUAGGCAUCUUAAAUCUCUAACAGGUUCAUUAAUAGAAGUGAUCCUGUGAUCUGAUCCAA